rnacentral:rRNA from 1 species
CCUACGGGCGGCAGCAGUGGGGAAUAUUGCACAAUGGGGGAACCCCUGAGGCAGCAACGCCGCGUGAGCGAUGAAGGCCUUCGGUUCGUAAAGCUCUGCCCUAAGGGAAGAAACCUGAGGGUACCUAGGGGGGAAGCCCCGGCUAAUUACGUGCCAGCAGCCGCGGUAAUACGGAGGGGGCUAGCGUUAUCCGGAAUUACUGGGCGUAAAGGGUGCGUAGGCGGCCCUUCAAGUCGGAGGUGAAAGGCUACGGCUCAACCGUAGUAAGCCUUUGAAACUGUAGGGCUUGAGUGCAGGAGAGGAGAGUGGAAUUCCCAGUGUAGCGGUGAAAUGCGUAGAUAUUGGGAGGAACACCAGUUGCGAAGGCGGCUCUCUGGACUGUAACUGACGCUGAGGCACGAAAGCGUGGGGAGCGAACAGGAUUAGAUACCCCGGUAGUC